AAUAGGGAGGGGGUGCUGGGCCUGAAGCUUUAAAAGUUUUAUUUUUUAAAUGGAUUUUUGGGGAAUUGUUUGGCAGCUGGCUUCCUUGGGUUAUGCCACUUGGAUGGAGAGAGAGAGAGAGAGAAAGAGAGGUUUGUUGGCUUUCUAAGAGCUUGAUACACGGCAAGAUGGGUUUUAUUUUAUUAUUUUUUCCCUACAUUAGCCACCGGUCCUCUUGUUCUUCUAUUUUGGAUUUCUUGGUUAGAACAGCCAGAAGAGGGAGGGAAAGGGCUAGAUAAGGAAGAGUUCUUAGUCAAAAUUUGGGAGAUUCAGCUAGAAAAAGAGGGUGAUUUGCUUAGAAGAAGAUGAAGUUGCUAAAAGUGAGAAAUGGAAAAUGCUUGUGGUGAUGGCAGUAGGGAUUUCAGCUACUUGAGGUAUUAAUCAGCAUGUAUCAAUUCUAUAAGAAAGGAAAAGAGGAUUCAAAGGGGUGCCUUGGAUAUGUUAAGCAUUAAGGUGACCUAGCAGCUAUUAAAAAUGUGGUGUAUCAUAGCUCAGCAUAAAGAAUAUUAUCUUCAACAUUAGUUUCAUGGAAGAUUGGUUAGUAUAGCCAAUGUAUUAGCAUAUUAGGUUGGUUAUGUCAGCUAGUGGAUAAAAAUAUUCAUUUUGUAUUUUGUUUGGGCUGUACUUUAUACUGGAUAUUGUAUAAACUACAAAAAUGUCAGAUAUGUCAGUGAUGCAUAUAUUAUAAACCUGUUGUCAGUAGUUACAAAGUGAUAAAUGAAAAUUUGGUGUUAUUCUUCCUUUA